rnacentral:rRNA from 1 species
AGCGAACGCUGGCGGCAGGCUUAACACAUGCAAGUCGAACGGGCAUCUUCGGAUGUCAGUGGCAGACGGGUGAGUAACACGUGGGAACGUACCCUUCGGUUCGGAAUAACUCAGGGAAACUUGAGCUAAUACCGGAUACGCCCUUUUGGGGAAAGGUUUACUGCCGAAGGAUCGGCCCGAGUCUGAUUAGCUUGUUGGUGGGGUAACGGCCUACCAAGGCGACGAUCCGUAGCUGGUAUGAGAGGAUGGUCAGCCCCACUGGGACAGGGACACGGCCCAGACUCCUCCGGAGGGGAGCAAUGGGAAUAUUGGACAAUGGGCGCAAGCCUGAUCCAGCCAUGCCGCGUGAGUGAUGAAGGCCUUAGGGUUGUAAAGCUCUUUUGUCCGGGACGAUAAUGACGGUACCGGAAGAAUAAGCCCCGGCUAACUUCGUG